rnacentral:rRNA from 1 species
CUCGUAGGUGGCCAACUAAGUCAGACGUGAAAUCCCUCGGCUUAACCGGGGAACUGCGUCUGAUACUGGAUGGCUUGAGUUCGGGAGAGGGAUGCGGAAUUCCAGGUGUAGCGGUGAAAUGCGCAGAUAUCAGGAGGAACACCGAUUGCGAAGGCAGCUCGCUGGGACGUGACUGACGCUGAGACGCGAAAGCGUGGGGAGCAAACA